AUUGAACGCUGGCGGCAGGCCUAACACAUGCAAGUCGAGCGGAUGAAGGGAGCUUGCUCCUGGAUUCAGCGGCGGACGGGUGAGUAAUGCCUAGGAAUCUGCCUGGUAGUAGGGGAUAACGUCCGGAAACGGGCGCUAAUACCGCAUACGUCCUGAGGGAGAAAGUGGGGGAUCUUCGGACCUCACGCUAUCAGAUGAGCCUAGGUCGGAUUAGCUAGUUGGUGGGGUAAAGGCCUACCAAGGCGACGAUCCGUAACUGGUCUGAGAGGAUGAUCAGUCACACUGGAACUGAGACACGGUCCAGACUCCUACGGGAGGCAGCAGUGGGGAAUAUUGGACAAUGGGCGAAAGCCUGAUCCAGCCAUGCCGCGUGUGUGAAGAAGGUCUUCGGAUUGUAAAGCACUUUAAGUUGGGAGGAAGGGCAGUAAGUUAAUACCUUGCUGUUUUGACGUUACCAACAGAAUAAGCACCGGCUAACUUCGUG
rnacentral:rRNA from 1 species